rnacentral:rRNA from 1 species
CCUACGGGAGGCUGCAGUGGGGAAUUUUGGACAAUGGGCGCAAGCCUGAUCCAGCUAUUCCGCGUGUGGGAUGACGGCCUUCGGGUUGUAAACCACUUUUGUAGAGAACGAAAAGUCUGUUGAUAAUACCGAUAGAUGAUGACGGUACUCUAAGAAUAAGCACCGGCUAACUACGUGCCAGCAGCCGCGGUAAUACGUAGGGUGCGAGCGUUAAUCGGAAUUACUGGGCGUAAAGGGUGUGCAGGCGGUUUUGCAAGAUGGAUGUGAAAGCCCCGGGCUUAACCUGGGAAAGGCAUACAUGACUGGAAGACUAGAGUGCGUGAGAGGGGGGUGGAAUUCCAGGUGUAGCAGUGAAAUGCGUAGAUAUUUGGAAGAACACCGAUGGCGAAGGCAGCCCCCUGGGACGCAACUGACGCUGAUACACGAAAGCGUGGGGAGCAAACAGGAUUAGAUACCCUAGUAGUC